CAAUAUGAGUAGAGAUGUCAUUGUAGAGUAGCAUAGGCUUAAGAACAGUUGUAAUCAGCUAAAGGAAAAAAUGCUUGUAGCAUCAGGUUACAGCUGCCAAACCUGAGGAAUACCAUGCAGCUGCACAGAUUUUCAAAAGCAGACCAGGUGUGAUGUUCACAAAUGGUAUGAAAGACUCUACAAGUGUACUACAGUGUAACAAACUCAUGGGAUUGUACAUUAUUGUUCCUCCCAAGUACUCAGCGACCAAGUGACAUGUUGUAUCUCUGACAUGUUGUGUUGUCUUACAGGCAGGAUCAACUAGGUUGCUGGAGAGAAUAGUGUGCAGCAGUCAUUAUUUAUGAGGCAUUCUCUUCAAAAAACUAUUUGCCAUUGUUUCUGUGGUGGCCUAGUGGUUGUCGUGUGGGGAACAAGAAAUGCAGAAGAAAAUGAGGAUCUACGUGCAAAGUGGUUUAUUAAUAGUCCAAAGGAAACAACAACAAGGAACACAGAGAACUAGAAGAACAGGGACAAGAAACUAACACCAAACAAUGACUGACUUAAGGUAACACAAGGACCAUGGGCGACAUUUGAUUCUUGAGUCAGGGGGGGCAAGAAAAAAAUAAAUAAAUAAAAUAAAAAA